rnacentral:rRNA from 1 species
ACUCCUACGGGAGGCAGCAGUGGGGAAUAUUGCACAAUGGGCGCAAGCCUGAUGCAGCCAUGCCGCGUGUAUGAAGAAGGCCUUCGGGUUGUAAAGUACUUUCAGCAGUGAGGAAGGCGGGUACGUUAAUAGCGUGCUCGUUUGACGUUAGCUGCAGAAGAAGCACCGGCUAACUCCGUGCCAGCAGCCGCGGUAAUACGGAGGGUGCGAGCGUUAAUCGGAAUUACUGGGCGUAAAGGGCUCGUAGGUGGUUGAUCGCGUCGGAAGUGUAAUCUUGGGGCUUAACCCUGAGCGUGCUUUCGAUACGGGUUGACUUGAGGAAGGUAGGGGAGAAUGGAAUUCCUGGUGGAGCGGUGGAAUGCGCAGAUAUCAGGAGGAACACCAGUGGCGAAGGCGGUUCUCUGGGCCUUUCCUGACGCUGAGGAGCGAAAGCGUGGGGAGCGAACAGGCUUAGAUACCCUGGUAGCUA